UACUGACGUCCAUGCUNGAAGGCGUGGGUAGCAAACAGGAUUAGAUACCCUGGUAGUNCACGCCCUAAACGAUGUCAAUUAGCUGUUGGGGCACUUGAUGCCUUAGUAGCGAAGCUAACGCGUGAAAUUGACCGCCUGGGGAGUACGGUCGCAAGAUUAAAACUCAAAGGAAUUGACGGGGACCCGCACAAGCGGUGGAUGAUGUGGAUUAAUUCGAUGCAACGCGAAGAACCUUACCUGGUCUUGACAUGUACGGAAUCUUCCAGAGACGGAAGAGUGCCUUCGGGAGCCGUAACACAGGUGCUGCAUGGCUGUCGUCAGCUCGUGUCGUGAGAUGUUGGGUUAAGUCCCGCAACGAGCGCAACCCUUGUCAUUAGUUGCCACCAUUCAGUUGGGCACUCUAAUGAGACUGCCGGUGACAAACCGGAGGAAGGUGGGGAUGACGUCAAGUCCUCAUGGCCCUUAUGACCAGGGCUUCACACGUCAUACAAUGGUCGGUACAGAGGGUAGCCAAGCCGCGAGGUGGAGCCAAUCUCAGAAAACCGAUCGUAGUCCGGAUUGCACUCUGCAACUCGAGUGCAUGAAGUCGGAAUCGCUAGUAAUCGCAGGUCAGCAUACUGCGGUGAAUACGUUCCCGGGUCUUGUACACACCGCCCGUCACACCAUGGGAGUGGGGGAUACCAGAAGUAGGUAGGCUAACCGCAAGGAGGCCGCUUACCACGGUAUGU
rnacentral:rRNA from 1 species